CCAUCGACGAUUCACUCUUUUCUCUCUACAGAAUGACAGAACUUUGGGGGCAGCUGGAUGGCUCAGUGGAUGGAGAGCCAGGCCAGCUAGAUAUCCUUGUUGUCCGACUCCUUUCAGCCCUGUCCGACGCUUCAUGAUCCCAUUGGGGGUUUUCUUGGCAAAUCUACUGCAAUGGUUUGCCUUUUCCUUCUCCAGCUCAUUUGACAGAGGAGGAAACUAAGGCAAACAAGAUGAAGUGACUUAGCCAUCGUCACACAGCUAGUCAGUGUCUGAAGCCAGAUUUGAACUCAGGAGGAGGAAUGCUCCAGACUCCAGCCUUGGAAGGCUCUCCGCUGCCCCAUCUAGAGAUAAAGGGAAAUAAAUACUAUGAUCACCAUUUUGGAGUUUCUCCAAAGUCAGGAGGAUCCAUUAAAUGCCCCACUAUGCUGGCUUGCUGCUGAUGCAAAGAGGAAAAGGACCAUCUGCCCUCAAGAAGCAGAUUCUGUCUAUUGUAGAAGAAAGAGGCAUCUAUACGACAGUAUUUGUGUUGGUGUCCUGGAUGCAGAUGUAGACACAUCUAGGUGCACACAUACACAUUAGCAAUAAAAUAUCUUUAAUGCUAGAAACUGUAAUUUGU
rnacentral:lncRNA from 1 species